rnacentral:rRNA from 1 species
CCUACGGGGGGCAGCAGUGGGGAAUAUUGGGCAAUGGAGGCAACUCUGACCCAGCAACGCCGCGUGAAUGAUGAAGGUCUUCGGAUCGUAAAGUUCUGUGAUGGGGGAUGAACACAAUGACGGUACCCCAAUAGCAAGCCACGGCUAACUACGUGCCAGCCGCCGCGGUAAUACGUAGGGGGCACGAGUUAUCCGGAAUGACUGGGCGGAAAGGGUGCGUAUGUGGUUUAGUAAGUUGGCGGUGUAAUUCCGGGGCUCAACCUCGGCGCUACCGCCAAAACUAUUAGACUAGAGUGCAGGGGGGGUAAGUGGAAUUCCUAGGGUAGGGGUGGAAUGCGUAGAUAUUAGGAGGAACAUCAGGGGCGAAGGCGACUUACUGGACUGUAACUGACACUGAGGCACGAAAGCGUGGGGAGCAAACAGGAUUAGAUACCCUUGUAGUC